rnacentral:lncRNA from 1 species
GAAACCCAAAAUCUAAGUAUCAGCUCCUAACCUCCAAUUCCCUUUCACACAACACAGCCAUCCACCAUCUCCAUCUCUCAUCAGCCCCACAUACCCCACCAUCUCCUCCUCUCACACGACACAACCACCACCACUCCCGUCGCGCACCUCCAUCCUUCGCCCUACUUCUCCACCGUACACAUCAUCUCUGCCGGUGCACCCUCUCCAACCUGAAUCCCCAUCAUCGCCAGACCUGAACCUCAUCCCCAUCUGUCACCGCACGACACCCUUCUUCAGUCUCCGCCGCACCGACUCGCUCCACUUCGUCGUUCAUCGCCACCACCUACCUCAUCGUCUCCAUCGCUGUCGGUCGUCUUCAAUCUAUGCCACAUCGCCUCCAACCAACCGCCACUCGUCGCCGGUCUCCGACAUCAGAGGAAAUCGGUUUCAAUGGUGAUGCUCUUGAUGAUUGUUGACAUAUGAGUGAAACGAAACGAACAACCGCAACCGCCUUAGUAGAUUCCUUACACACUCAUCUCCGAGCCUCGAGGACGAUGCUACAUCUUAAGCUUGGGGAGAUUAGAGGUAAUUUUUAUGUUUUCAUCAUAGCAUGCAUUACUUAGUUUGUAAAUAGUUGCAUAUAGUUGCAUUUUUUCAUGUUCAUUGCAUUUAGGGUGUAUAUACAUGCAUAAAAAAAAUUCUUAAAAAAAAAAAAAAAAAAAAAAAAACCGUUUCUAUUCCGUUGAGAAUGAUUUGUGAAAAAAUGAGAUAUGAUAUGAUUUCUGGCAUGUCAAAGCUUAUGCGUGAAAUGGUAACUUUGGGGAAGAAAACAUAGAUAAUUCGGGAUAUGUUGAUAGGCUCGGCCCUAACUUAGGAACGCCAAUGUUGUAUGCAAUAACCUUAAUUGAAUAUAUGUGUUUAGUUUCCCAUCUUGAUGCUUGUGGUUAAAAAUUGAUCCCGACCAAAAAUCGGUUGAGUUGCAUAUCCUCUAUCACACACCAUAUUCCCCAUAUCAUGACACCUCCGUAAUUUCAUUGAAAAAAAAUAAAGAGGUGAAAAAUUGACCUCAAAGAGGUGAAAAAUUGACCUCAUAGGUUAUUUUAGUAAGAAAAAAAAAAGAGAAAAAAGAAGGGGUAAAAGAGCACAAUGUAUGCCAAAAAUUUGAAAAAAAAGAAGUCGAAAUAAAGAAAAAUAUAUAUUUGAGCAAAUUAGGGAGAAAAGUCCCGACCCCUUGAAAAACGGAAAAAAGAUAAUAACUAUCGUGUCAUGGUUUGGGUGCAUGGUCGCAUCAAGUGUGGUUUUGGAUAUCUUCAAAAAGUCGUGAGGUUGGGUAGAUGUUGCCAUAGGUGUUGGGCGUGGGGACGAUUGAACCAUGUUGGUAAGUUUGUAUAUUAUUAAGCAGAAAGCAUCUGGUUGUGAUUAAGCGGGUUUGAGUUUAAAGGGACACAAAAUAUCAACAAUCGCGGUUACACGUGUAAGUAUUUCCCGGGUUCGAAUGAAUGUAAUAGGAGUUGAUAUUGUUAGAUAUGAUCUCAUUACAAGUUUAUUUUCCGGAAUAAAAGAAGCGGGUUGAAAAAAAAAAAAUAGUAAGCAUGCAUAUGUGUUUUAUUUUUCGUGUUUAUUUCUCGGUUUAUUCUUAUUCUUGACUUCCUUGAGGACAAGGAAAGGUUUAAGCUUGGGGAGAUUUGUUAGUUGCAUUUUUAGGCACGUUUUAUAGCAUAUUAAUAUUAAAAAUUCACCACAUAUCAUGCAUAUUUCGUAGUAAUACCUCAUUAUUUUGAAAAAAACACUUGUUUUUGUGGAACGGAAUCUACUUUGGACGUUUUAAUGAUUUUGUAGGCAUGGAGCAGUUGUAAGGAAUGGCAAGAGAUAGUGAAAAGGCUCGUAAAAACUCAAGAAAUAAAUAAAGUAUGGGCUCAAGUAAAAGUGGAUAGCAUGGAUUUUUAGUUGGAUGAUUUACAAGGGCCUGAUCAUUGCAAGAAUAAAAAGAAGUUUAUUGGAGAUGACAUUGGGCUGAAAUAAACUUCCUAAGUUUGGGCCAAUUGAUGACACCGAUGGGCUGCACAUUGAGUCAUGGACUAGAAAAAAAAUAACAAUCAUCACGAAAAAAGGGGGAUUGGUUUUUGGACGACUGAAAGUGGACAAAGAAAAGAAGGGAAUCCAUCUUUUUGUGGGGGGCUGGCAUUCGAAAUCAAGAAGAAGAAAAAAAAUGGCAUUUUCUCUUUGGUGAUUUUUUUUCUCUAGAACAAUUUGUUUUCGUAAGUUUUAAAUUGUGGUAUGCUUUAUUUCGUAUUUGUAUUGAUUGUUCUAGCUAUCAUGUCCGGCUAGAACCUUAUAGUUUCGACAUCGGGGUUUAUUUUCUUUGAUUUGGUUCAUAGAUUUAUGUGAAACGGUUAUGUUAGAUUCAAUUAUUUUAGUGGUUUGUUUGUGUGU